UCUUAGAUGACUGAGAUAAGUGUUAGAUUUUUAAUCUAAAAACAGCAGAUAACUGCUUCUAGGAG
rnacentral:tRNA from 1 species